rnacentral:rRNA from 1 species
CGGUUGUGUGCGAUCGCAGUGACGAAAGCGGUUAGGUUUACCCACGAAUGGAAGUGUGGGGAGAUAGUGAUAAGCUGUCGGCUAGAAUCCGACACCAAGUGAAACACCGAAGUACGAAAGGGGUGACCUGAGUAGGAAGUAGCUGAUACCGAUUUCCAAGAAAAGCUGCUAGCUUAAGCACAAUCGGCCCGUACCGAGAACGGACACACGUGGUCAAGGAGAGUAUCCUAAGGUGAGCGAGAUAACUGUUGUUAAGGAACUCUGCAAAAUUACUUCGUAAGUUAGCGAGAAGAAGUGCUCCGUAAAAGGAGCCGCAGUGAAGAGGCCCAAGUAACUGUUUACCAAAAACACAGCUCUAUGCUAAGUCGUAAGACGAUGUAUAUGGGGUGAAGCCUGCCCGGUGCCGGAAGGUUAAUAGGAGAGGUGAAAGCUUUGAAUUGAAGCCCCGGUGAACGGCGGCCGUAACUAUAACGGUCCUAAGGUAGCGAAAUUCCUUGUCAGGUAAGUUCUGACGUGCACGAAUGGUUUAAUAAUUUGGGCGCUGUCUCGACAGCAGACUCGGUGAAAUCUUAAUACUGGUGAAGAUGCCAGUUACCCGCGACUAGACGGAAAGACCCCAUGGAGCUUUACUACAACUUAAUAUUGAGUAAUUGCAAAUCAUGUAGAGGAUAGGUGGGAGGCUAUGAAGUAAUGGCGCUAGCUAUUAUGGAGCCGCCCUUGGAAUACCACCCUUGAUUUACAGUUAUUCUAACUUCCUCCCUGGAUGGGAGGGAAGACAGUGUUAGGCGGGUAGUUUGGCUGGGGCGGCCGCCUCCCAAAUAGUAACGGAGGCGCCCUAAGGUACCCUCAGUAUGGUCGGAAAUCAUACGUAGAGCGCAAAUGCAUAAGGGUGCUUGACUGCGAGACACACAGGUCGAGCAGGUACGAAAGUAGGGAUUAGUGACCAGGCGGUUUCAUUGUGGAAUGGCCGUCGCUUAACGGAUAAAAGCUACCCUGGGGAUAA